GGAUGUUCUCAGGGCGGGGCGCAAUUCCCCACCGGCGGUAUGCGGGCAUGACCCGUAAGCCCGCGAGCGGCGUUUGCAGUGCAGACGUGUCAGCAGAUCCGGUGAGAUGCCGGAGCCGACGGUCAUAGUCCGGAUGAAAGAGAACGUGC
rnacentral:ncRNA from 1 species